GAUGAAGAACGCAGCGAAACGCGAUAAGUAAUGUGAAUUGCAGAAUCCAGUGAAUCAUCGAAUCUUUGAACGCACAUUGCGCCCGCCAGCAUUCUGGCGGGCAUGCCUGUUCGAGCGUCAUUUCAACCCUCGACCUCCCCUUGGGGAGGUCGGCGUUGGGGACCGGCAGCACACCGCCGGCCCUGAAAUGGAGUGGCGGCCCGUCCGCGGCGACCUCUGCGCAGUAAUACAGCUCGCACCGGGACCCCGACGCGGCCACGCCGUAAAACCCCCGACCCCCAUGAGUUUGACCUCGGAUCAGGUAGGAAUACCCGCUGAACUUAAGCAUAUCAAUAAGCGGAGGA
rnacentral:misc_RNA from 1 species